rnacentral:tRNA from 1 species
GCCGAGGUAGUAUAACGAGUGCGUCCGUUUUUCGUGCGGUUAGUGGUUUUAGAUAACCUCUCGGUU